CAACAAUCCUUGAGCACAAUAAGGCCACUGUCUUAUUUCUCAGAGUAGGAGAAAGACCCUGUGAUGGAAACUACUUUUCUCUUGUGAGAUUGUACUCCCUUUCUUUAGGCGAUUCUAAACGAACAUGGCUGCAGCCAUCAUUUAUCAAGAACUUCUCCUGGCUUCUUCUACUCAUGGCACACAGCUCAUGGCUUUCCCUCAGAUGCAGUGGAAGCCUGGACAAAGGAAAACUUCCAUUAACAUCUUGUUGAAGUCUGAGGUGGCAGAGUUUGCAAUACGCACAAAGAGAUGAGGACAUCAAUAGACUUCUUUCUCACAUGGGAAAGGGAACAAGAUGGGAAGAGGAACCAAGGACAUGGAAGAGAGUGUGCAGCUCCACAUGGAAGGGCCUGGCCAAAUCUAAGGCAAGUGGUAAGAGACCCAUAACAAUGAGGUUGUUCAAAGAUAUAGGCCAUAGAGUGUACUGCAAAAAUCUGUCAAUAACCCAGUUCAACGGUCCAGGAAAGUAUAGAGAAGUUGUGGAAGACAGUUGCCACUGUAGUGCUCAGGAUACUGUGAGAGACAGCAGCUGGCACAUGGGCACCAUAUUUAUUGGAGCAUUAUGAAUUCCCAUUUCCAUCCCAUGGUGGACUCAGUGUCUUCCAGCCUGGCACAGGAUCUGGAUGUUUUGUGUGCAUACCCUUAGACCUUGUGGUUGAGUUAGGGAGGGAGGAGCUGACCUAACCAAAAGUGAUUCAUUUUUUCUCUGGUUGCAUAGUGUGCUUACAUUUGGGAGAGCAAAAAAACAUUUUCAUAGCAGGACUGCUUCAGAACUUGACCAAAUUAUAUGGUAUCCAAUGGCUUUUGGUAAUGAAGUAUAACAUUUUAUACCAGUUAUGUAUGCAAGUCAAUUCUGUUGAAAUAACCCUGUUUUUUCAAGAAGCAAAAAUAGUCUAACCUUUUAUAAAAUGUAGUAGCAUUUUAUGGUAGUGUUAUUUUUUAUAAAAGCACCUACAUUUACAGAAUUCUACCAUCCCCUUCUCCUGUGUACCCAGUCUGUACAAUCACAAGGUCCUUAAUCAACUGACUUUAAGUUAAUCAAAAGAAAGAUUAUUGGACUGGGUCUUCUCUAAUCAGGCGAGCCUUAAAAGAUGUAAAAAGAUUCAAAGUGCAGGUGAUUCUUCUGGCCUUGGAGGGGCCAACUUCCAAUGUUGUGGAGAGUGCCAUGUGGCAGGAAAUAUUGGGUGGCCUUUAGUUGACAGCCAGCAGAAAACAGGAACCUCCAUCCUAUAACUGUAAGGAACCAAAUUCUGGCAACAAUCUGAAUGUGUUUGGAAGCGAAUCCUGAGCUCCAGAUGAGAAUGCAGCUCCAGUCAACACCUGGAUUCCAGCCUUAAGACCCCAAGCAAAGAACCCUAUUGUCAGGCCUCUGAGCCCAAGCCAAGCCAUCACAUCACCUGUGACUUGCACAUAUACGCCCAGAUGGCCUGAAGUAACUGAAGAAUCACAAAAGAAGUGAAAAGGCCCUGCCCCGCCUUAACUGAUGACAUUCCACCAUUGUGAUUUGUUCCUGCCCCACCUUAACUGAGUGAUUAACCCUGUGAAUUUCCUUCUCCUGGCUCAGAAGCUCCCCCACUGAGCACCUUGUGACCCCCACCCCUGCCCACCAGAGAACAACCCCCUUUGACUGUAAUUUUCCAUUACCUUCCCAAAUCCUAUAAAACGGCCCCACCCUUAUCUCCCUUCACUGACUCUCUUUUCGGACUCAGCCCGCCUGCGCCCAGGUGAAAUAAAACAGCCAUGUUGCUCCCACAAAGCCUGUUUGAUGGUCUCUUCACACGGACGUGCAUGAAAUUUGGUGCCGUGACUCGAAUCGGGGGACCUCCCUUGGGAGAUCAAUCCCCUGUCUUCUUGUCCUUUGCUCCGUGAGAAAGAUCCACCUAUGACCUCAGGUCCUCAGACUGACCAGCCCAAGAAACAUCUCACCAAUUUCAAAUCCGGUAAGCGGCCUCUUUUUUCUCUCUUCUCCAACCUCCCUCACUAUCCCUCAACCUCUUUCUCCUUUCAAUCUUGGCGCCACACUUCAAUCUCUCCUCUUAAUUUCAAUUCCUUUCAAUUCCUUUGGUAGAGACAAAGGAGACACGUUUUAUCCGUGGACCCAAAACUCAGGCUCUGGUCACGGACUGGGAAGGCAGCCUUCCCUUGGUGUUUGAUAAUUCCAGGGACACCUCUCUGAUUAUUCACCCACGUUUCAAAGGUGUCAGACCACGCAGGGACGCCUGCCUUGGUCCUUCACCCUUAGCGGCAAGUCCCGCUUUCCUAGGGGGCAAGAACCCCCCAAAUCGCUUAUUUCCACACCCCAACCUCUUAUCUCUGCGCCCCAAUCCCUUAUUUCCGCACCCUGACCUCUUAUCUCUGUGCCCCGAUCCCUUAUUUCCUUGCGUCAACCCCUUCUCUGCUUUUCUGGAGGGCAAGAACCCCCCACCCCUUCUCCGUGUCUCUACUCUUUUCUCUGGGCUUGCCUCCUUCACUAUGGGUAAGCUCCCACCUUCCAUUCCUCCUUCUUCUCCCUUAGCCUGUGUUCUCAAAAACUUAAAACCUCUUCAACUCACACCUGACCUAAAACCUAAAUGCCUUAUUUUCUUCUGCAAUGCCGCUUGACCCCAAUACAAACUCGACAGUAGUUCCAAAUAGCCAGAAAAUGGCACUGUGAAUUUUUCCAUCCUGCAAAAUCUAAAUAAUUCUUGUCGUAAAAUAGGCAAACGGUCCGAGGUGCCUGACGUCCAGGCAUUCUUUUACACAUCGGUCCCUUCCUAGUCUCUGUGCCCAAUGCAACUCGUCCCAAAUCUUCCUUCUUUCCCUCCCGCCUGUCCCCCCAGUCCCAACCCCAAGCGUCGCUGAGUCUUUCUAAUCUUCCUUUUCUACAGACCCAUCUGACCUCUCCCCUCCUCGCCAGGCCGAGCUAGGUCCCAAUUCUUCCUCAGCCUCUGCUCCUCCACCCUAUAAUCCUUUUAUCACCUCCCCUCCUCACACCUGGUCCGGCUUACAGUUUCGUUCCGUGACUAGCCCUCCCCCACCUGCACAGCAAUUUACUCUUAAAAAGGUGGUUGGAGCCAAAGGCAUAGUCAAGGUUAAUGCUCCUUUUUCUUUAUACCAAAUCAGAAGCGUUUAGGCUCUUUUUCAUCAAAUAUAAAAAUCCAGCCCAGUUCCUGGCUCGUUUGGCAGCAACCCUGAGACGCUUUACAGUCCUAGACCCUAAAAGGUCAAAAGGCCAUCUUUAUUCUCAAUAUACAUUUUAUUACCCAAUCUGCUCCCAACAUUAAAUUAAACUCCAAAAAUUGGAAUCUGGCCCUCAAACCCCACAACAGGACUUAAUUAACCUCACCUUCAAGGUGUACAAUAACAGAAAAAAGUUGCAAUUCCUUGCCUCCACUGCGAGACAAACCCCAGCCACAUCUCCAGCACACAAGAACUUCCAAAUGCCUGAACCGCAGCAGCCAGGCGUUCCUCCAGAACCUCCUCCCCCAGGAGCUUGCUACACGUGCUGGAAAUCUGGCCACUGGGCCAAGGAAUGCCCGCAGCCCAGGAUUCCUCCUAAGCCACGUCCCAUCUGUGUGGGACCCCACUGAAAAUCGGACUGUUCAACUCACCUGGCAGCCACUCCCAGAGCCCCUGGAACUCUGGCCCAAGGCUCUCUGACUGACUCCGUCCCAGAUCUUCUCAGCUUAACGGCUGAAGACUGACACUGCCCGAUCGCCUCAGAAGCCCCCGACCAUCACGGAUGCCGAGCUUCGGGUAACUCUCGCAGUGGAAGUGCCCAGCUUUCCAACACCUGUGCUCUGCUGGGAAGGAGGGGCAAAAAGAAGGAGGAGCUGGACAUGAAUGCUAGGAAACCCGAGCAGGUGCUGGCCAGCUGAAUGGAGACUGAAAGCUGAAUCGUUUCUUCUGCGGAGGCAAGAAUUGAGUUUGCUUCAGACCUGGACAGAACCACUGCCGCUAACAUAUUUCGGUGCCCUGUGACUCGGAAAUGUUCCACCGGCUGCAGUUUAGGCUAACCCUGCUUAUUCCUGUAAACCAACAAGGGACCUCUGCAGUUCAGAAGAAACAAGAGGGAUCGGCCAUCAAGCUCCAGAUGAUCCUCAGUGAGGGAUACUGUCCUCUCAAUAUUCAAGAGUCACCCUUCUACAGAAGAUCCCUAGACUUCCCAUCAGUGGGACAUGACAGAGGUGAGAAACCUGAGAUUCGUGGAAGUUAAAAGACUUGUGCAGCAUCCACAGCUACACUGGCCAUUCCUGUCGUCUUCAAUAUGAGUUCUUCCAUGCUUACGAAGUGCCUAAAAACAGGCGGCAGGAGAAAAAAUGAAUGCUGAGCAAAGAGGGAAGACCCUUAUGAAACCAUCAGAUCUCGUGGGAACUCACUUACCAUCAUGAGAACAGCAUGAAGGAAACCGCCCCAUGAUUCAAUUAUCUCCAACUUGUCUAGCCCUGGACACAUGGGGGUUAUUUCAAUUCAAGGUAAGAUUUAGCUGGAGACACAGAGCCAAACCCUACCAGUGCAUAAAAUUGGAAUAACAUUUUCUGUCCUUCUGGUCUCUCUUGCUUGUUGCCAUUGUCAAGUAAGGUAAUAGAUGGAAAAGCACUCUGAAAAUCACCAAAUGAAUGCAUUUCAUUGUUACUUAUUAGGAUAAUUUCUUGGGAUGGUUGUUACAAUUGUUAAAUUUUGUGGUUAUUCUGAUUAUUUUUGAAUAUUAAUCAACUUUAAUUCUUCAUUAUAAACUUCUCUAAAAAUGUUAUUUUUCAGAAGCAUUGUAUUGUAGGAUAGAACAGAGAUAUUCUUGCAAGCAAAGGAGACCAGUCCUGCUCAUUUUAGACAAAAUAGCAUUGAGUGUCCACAGGAUAAGUAGAAACCCAGAUGACAGGGUUUAGGGAAUAGACAAAUCCACGGAAGCAGGAAAAAUACACUAAGCAUCUGGAGUAGUUUGCCAUCACUUAUCACUGUUCCUGUGUUGAAUUACCUCUAACUAGGAGUAGGUAAUUUUCAAAAUAUAUAUCUCUUUGUAUAAUACAAACACUGAAUACUCUGAAUGGUCUGUAACUAAAAACCUAGUAGGGCCAUACUGGUGCAUGACUGCUGGAUAUUAAGUUUUGCCUCCAAUUAUUUCUCAUGCUUCUGCAUCUCUAGCUCAAGACCAAAGUUCUAUCCAAUAGCAGUGCAUUAGAUGAGCUUGGGUCACUUGUGGUUAAAUAAUGGGAAAAGGCUUAGCGAGUUUGUAGCCUGCAGCUUCUGUCAGAACAGAAAAGAUGCAAUCUCUGACCAAGACUGCACACAGAAGGUAUUUGGGCGGCUAAUAGUGAAGGGAUUUAAUUCUUAAUAGCUAAAAUAAAAAGUGUUCGCAGAAAAUGUGGUAUUUACUUCCUAUCUUGUUUUUCUCAUGUGUAUUUUGGUAAUUGAAUUACCUGUUAUUUCUCUAAAGUACAGAAUAGUAAUGCUGAGGUGACAGGUAUAUAUGCAAGACAUGGAAUUUUAGAUGUUGAUACUUAUUAGCAUUGAUUUAUUCAAUGUUAUUUCACUGAGCAAACAUUAAAAUUUAAUAAGACAAGGUACAGAAAUACAUGUGACAGAUAAUAUUUAGCAUGUCUGUUUCAGAGAUAGAAACAUCCUUUAAUUUAAGUAAAGAAAUGGAAUUCCACAGAGAGGCCUUGACACAUUUGUAAGUGUAGAUGACAUAUGUAGAAUUUUUGGUAGUAUUUUGCAUAUGUGGGUUUUUGAUAUACAAAGAAAAACUUCUUCCUUCCUAUAUUAAAGUGAUUUCUUUAUCUUGUUUCCAUGGUAAUAAUGAAUUGGUGUUAAUUGUCUGACUUCCCACCUACAAUGCAAUCUGGGCUAAUUCUGCCAGGUUCCAGCUGAGUCUCCAAAGACGAGGACAGGCUCCUAAGUGGCCCAGACUGAGCCUCACUACUCAAGCCAUCAGGGAAGCUGGCAAUUGCAUGGUGACUCAACCUUAAGCCAAGAUCAAAACCUAAAUACAAAACACAAUGCAGAAUGCACAAAUAGCUAUUUCACAAGCUGUAGGUGAGAACUAAGAGUUAACAACAGAAUAGAAGAGGAAUUUAAAAGAAGCAGGAGAGGAACAGAAUGAGUCCUGGAAGUUUACCUGUAAUGUCAACAGUUCACCUUUAGGGGCCAGGAAAUCAAUCAUGUCUAGGCCUGUUGGCUAUUUCUAAAGGUCGGAAUCUGGGAAAAUGGAUCUGUUUGCAUUAUCUUACUAUUUCAGUUUACAGGCCUGCUUUCAGUAAUGAGGGGUCAGGGCCAGAGUCCAAAGAGAGGCUCUCAUAUACAAGAUGUCUAAAUACGUAUUUAAAAGCUAUGUGUAAAACUAUCCAACUGUCAAAUAAAACAUGUUCUAUCAAACUCAUUGAACAAUAUACCUUCAUAAUAAAAAAAUGAAAAAAUAUAUGUAAAGCUAUGGUUUCUUAGGAUAAAAAGUAG
rnacentral:lncRNA from 10 species